rnacentral:miRNA from 1 species
UGUGUGUGUGUGUGUGUGUGUAUGUAUAUAUAUAUGUCUCUGUGUGUAUAUAUACACACACACACACACACACAUU